UACGAAGGGGGCUAGCGUUGUUCGGAAUUACUGGGCGUAAAGCGCACGUAGGCGGAUCGAUCAGUCAGGGGUGAAAUCCCAGGGCUCAACCCUGGAACUGCCUUUGAUACUGUCGAUCUGGAGUAUGGAAGAGGUGAGUGGAAUUCCGAGUGUAGAGGUGAAAUUCGUAGAUAUUCGGAGGAACACCAGUGGCGAAGGCGGCUCACUGGACCAUAACUGACGCUGAGCGCGAAAGCUAGGGAGCAACAGG
rnacentral:rRNA from 1 species